UGUGAACCCUAACAAGGAGUGCGACUGGAAAUGCUGGUAUGGAGCUUGCAAGCAUUGGUCGCUCGCAUUUCCCUUUGGCUGCGAAUAAGACUCUUUGCUGAAUGCUCCUGAAACCAGAAAGAUAAGUAUGGUUUAUAUAAAAAACAAGGCGGUGGGCAGCACAGGGAUUGGUUGGCACCUCAGUCAUGUCAUGGAGGACUGGCCCCUUCUGCCAUCCUUGGCGUGCAGUUUGCUUCAUGGACACAAGUAUCGGCUUCUUCUUGUAACAUCCAAGAAAGAAGGAAGGAACUCAAAACUUUCUCUCAUUUCAUCUGUCUUUCUUAUAGAAGCCCCCCACCCCCGUGUUUCUCCAUGCUCCUCACUGCCCGUCCUGGGCCAGGUGCCCCACCUUACUUUAAAUGAUGUCAAGGAGAAGAGCAGACGAGCAAGCCUCUUAGACCAGUGGACAGAGCUCACCAUUGACUAGACCACGUGGUUCUGUGCAUAAGAAAAGGGGACUAGUUAUCUGGGAGGAAGGUCAUCGCCCGUCGGCUUGUGAAUUCCUCUCACUGAGGCCCUUCUCUGCAAACACCCUCUGCCAGAGGAUGGGGUGCGGACUCUGCCUCUAACACACCCUGAACCUUUGCAGCUUGCAGCCUGUGGACACCUUGAAGCUGAGACGGUGGCUCCUCUGUGUGCGGCCCAGUGCACAGAGCCCUGCCAGAGGGGGCGCUCAAAAAGUAAAUAUUUGAAUAAAUGAAUAAGUUAACAGGAGAGUUAAGCCAAUCUGGCUGUCAGCCUCUUAAAUGCCCUGGAGGGACUGAGAUGAGAAAGCAGUGGAAACUGGCCCCAGAGAGCUGAGCGGCACAUCAAAGGCAUCGUUUCAACAAUCCCAGACUCUAGUAUCUUCCCAAACAUAGAAAAGAAGUAAAUUCCUUACCUUGAGAUGGCUGGUUUUCUUUAGUUAGCAGGAAUUUUUUGAUGUUCCGACUACCUGCUUUCUGUUGCAAAAACUCUGAUGUGUCCUGAGCAGUCUCUCCAAACUACCCAAGACGCUGUGUCCUGGGCUUCAGUCCUCAG